GAUGAACGCUGGCGGCGUGCCUAAUACAUGCAAGUCGAGCGCAGCGGGGACGGGUGCGUACGAGGUAGAUACCCUCCUAUAAGACUGCGUUAACUUCGGGAAACCGGAGCUAAACCGGCUACUUAUAGAUGGUUCAUCGAUGCAUUAGCUAGUUGGUAAGGUAACGGCUUACCAAGGCCACGCUGCAUAGCCGACCUGAGAGGGGGAUCGGCCACACGGGAACUGAGACACGGUCCAGACUCCUACGGGAGGCAGCAGUAGGGAAUCUUCCGCAAUGGGCGAAAGCCUGACCGAGCAACGCCGCGUGAGUGAUGAAGGUCUUCGGAUCGUAAAACUCUGUUAUUAGGGAAGCGGUACCUAAUCAGAAAGCCACGGCUAACUACGUGCCAGCAGCCGCGGUAAUUC
rnacentral:rRNA from 1 species